UACGUAGGGGGCAAGCGUUGUCCGGAAUCAUUGGGCGUAAAGCGCGUGUAGGCGGUUCGGUAAGUCUGCUGUGAAAGUCGGGGGCUCAACCCUCGAAUGCCGGUGGAUACUGUCGGACUAGAGUACGGAAGAGGCGAGUGGAAUUCCUGGUGUAGCGGUGAAAUGCGCAGAUAUCAGGAGGAACACCAAUUGCGAAGGCAGCUCGCUGGGACGUUACUGACGCUGAGACGCGAAAGCGUGGGGAGCAAACAGG
rnacentral:rRNA from 1 species